rnacentral:rRNA from 1 species
UACGGAGGUGGCAAGCGUUACUCGGAAUCAUUGGGUGUAAAGGGCAAGUAGGCGGUCUAUUAAGUGAGGGGUGAAAUCUUCCGACUCAAUCGGGAAACUGCCUUUCAAACUGAUAGACUUGAGGUAAGAAGGGGGAAAUGGAAUUCCAGGUGUAAGGGUGAAAUCUGUAGAUAUCUGGAAGAACACCGGCGGCGAAGGCGAUUUCCUGGUCUUACCCUGACGCUGAAUUGCGAAAGCUAGGGGAGCAAACAGA